CAAAACUCGCUCAUCCAAACACUGGAAUAUCUUUGUGAUAAAAAUACCAAAUAAAUCCUGAUAUUUCUUCUGGUAAAAUCGUCGUUUAAUAGAUUUCUGAUAUCAGAUCUGUUGUACUUGGAAUAAAAAGGACGAAAUCUACCAUUAUAUGCUUGGUUAAGAAUUUAAAGUCAUGCAGGACAACUCAAAGCUAUGUAAGAAGUUUUGUGAGUCAAGGGGAUUGUGAAGUUGAUAAUUUAAAGAACAACAAUGGAUCCAUUGAAAGCCAAAGCUAAUUAUUCCCGGAUAUGUCAUUUGUUGGUAGAUAAAGGUGGAGAUGUUUUGAGAAAUGCUUUGCAUGCGGCAAUUCAUCCACCUUCCACCUUAGCUUCCGUAUUGAAUGCCAACAAGAAGACUUUGCAAAAAAUACGAUACAGUGUAAUUAAAGCCUCGCAAUGGGAUCUACUCUUUCCAACAUCUGGUGCUCCAGAUUCAAAAAACUUUGAUAUUACCCUAUUGACUGCCCUACUCCGAAAUAUUUGUGGAUUCUCGGCACCAGCCACCGGAUGGAAUGUGAUGCCUCCAGUCAGCGAUACUUCUAUAUCUGCAAAUAUUGUAAGAGUCAAAAUGUUUAGAAAUGAAGUCUAUGGUCACAUUCCGACUGCUAGUUUGGACGACAUAACGUUUGAAACAUUGUGGAAAGAAAUUUCUGUUCCGUUAGUCAACUUGGGAAUUCCUCAAAAUGAUAUUGAUGAAUUAAAGGUGGCUCCUCUUAGCCCUGAAGAAGAAAGUUAUAUUGAAAGAUUGAAAGAGUGGAAACAACAAGAGGAUGAUUUUAUGUCAAAAUUAAACGAUGUUGAAAGUGAAGUAGUGAAACUAAGACAGACAGUUGAAAAUGUUCAUCCCUCGCUUGUCGAGCAACUGGCUAAAUUUAACUUUGCUGGAAAGAUUCGUGACCUUUGUAGAAAAUUUCAAGAUGGCACUAGAAAGUGGUUGUUUGAUAAACUAUCAAAUUGGUUUGGGAGUGAAGAAUCCAGGAUCUUGAUCCUAACUGCAGGUCCAAGUGUUGGAAAAAGUGUUUUGUCUGCAAAGCUUUGCGAGCUUUUUAGAGAACGUGGUCAACUCGCAGCUCACCAUUUCUGUGACUUUCGAAAUUCUGAUUACAGCAAUCCUCAGAGAAUCCUCCAGUCUCUUGCCAGUCAAAUGUGUGAUAAUGUUGAAGGAUUUCGUGAUAAACUAACUGAAAUUCUUCGUCGUGAACAUUCUCGUGACUCGCUGUCAGACGCAUUUCGUGUUCUUUUGAACGACCCCCUCCAUGCCCUUGACAGACACGAUCCAAUGUUGAUCAUCGUUGAUGCUUUGGACGAGAGCAAAACUGACGAGAAAAGCGAAUUAUUGGAGUUGAUAUCUGAGAGAUUUUGUGAACUGCCUGAUUGGAUUAAGAUAUUCAUUUCAAGUCGACCAGAGCUACAAGUACGAAAGAUUCUUGAACAUCUUCACCCGUGGGAAAUCCGUCCUGAUGACGAAGAUCACAACCACGACAUAGAGCUUUUUGUUCGUCAUAGUUUACCUAAUCUUGAUGAUAAUAGUAUAAGGAGGAGAUCUACCAUUAUUUUGCUUAUACACAAUGUUGUAUAAUGUUGGUUGAGUGUUUACAGCGAGGACAACUCAAAGUUAUUCAACUCGUGUGAGAAGUUCUCUGAGUCAAGGGGAUUGUGAAGUUAAUAUUUAAAGACAACAAUGGAUCCAUUGAAAGCCAAAGCUAAUUAUUCCAGGGUAUGUCAUUUGUUGGUAGAU
rnacentral:misc_RNA from 1 species